GAGGCACGGUGCGAGUCGAGGGCCGAGCGAGACGGCGCGCUCGCCGACUCACAAAGAAAAAAAAAAGAAAACUUAACAAUCAUUGGCCAAAUCGGACACGACGUGGUUAAACAGAGGCUCAGAUCAGAUCAGAUCAGAUCCCACUGAUUAAAUGUCG